CUCAACACAGCACGGUCACGGUCAGUACGGUGAUAGUGAUCAAGGAAGCUAAACGUUUAUCUGUUUUCGUUUGUUAUCGAUCGUACGUUACGUUCAACUAAGAGAAGAAAUGGAGAAGACUGAAUUGAGCAAGGAUCAAAUGAAAAUUCUGAAGGAUGCCUUCGAUGCGUUCGACAUUGAGAAGAAGGGCAGCAUCUCGCUGGAAGUGAUCGGUACGAUCAUGGAUCUGCUGGGAUAUGCCCUGUCCGAGGAAGAGCUAAAGGAGGUGAUGGAGGACUACGAUGAGGAUGAAUCGGGACAGAUUGAGUUUGAGGAGUUCAUUGAGCUUGCAUCAAACUACGUCGAGCCGGAGGAAGACUACGAUGUGCUGAGGGCUGAGCUACGCGAAGUGUUCAUGCUGUACGAUAAGGAUGGUACGGGUUUCAUCCCGGUGAACGCGUUCAAGGCGAUCCUCCGAGAGUUGGACGGUGCGGUGCCCGAGAACGAACUGGAUGACAUCGUGGAUGAGAUUGAUGCCGAUGGUUCGGGCACGGUUGACUUUGAAGAAUUCAUGCAGGUUAUGACAGGUGAUUAAGAGAAAGGUUUUUGAGUGUGCACGGAGACCGACGGUGCAUUACCGUGGCAGGGUCCACAAGAAUAAAGGGAAACCCACAUCGUUCGGACUGGAGGCUAUACUGCAACACUGCAAAUGGUGGCAAAGACUUAAAGACAUCGUUUUCUUCUCAACGUUAUGCUAUUGAACUACCCAACGAUAUUUAUGCGAAGAAAAGCGUCCAGCUAAAACCAUUUUAAGACACGCACACAAUUGGUUUUUGUGCAAACUGGAGUGUCAUCGUACUUCUAACAUUUUUAUCAAAUAGCCUUGUAAAAGCAAUCAUUCCGAGAAAAAGACAAGUAAGAAAUGAAAUCGUGUUAACGCGUACCUUUUCUCGUGCAAGGUUUGUUUACGUUUUUAAAUCGAGCCGGUAGCGAGAAAAUAAUUUUGAAUUAAAUAAAAUUAAUUUAAACAAAGAAAA